GUCGAGCGAGGUUACUGUUUCGGAUCCCUUCGGGGUGAAGAAGCUUUAACCUAGCGGCGGACGGGUGAGUAACGCGUGGGUAACCUACCCCAAAGUCCGGGAUAACAGCGGGAAACCGCUGCUAAUACCGGAUGCCUUUACCUUGGGGCAUCUUGAGGUAAAGAAAGGUAACGCUUUGGGAUGGGCCCGCGUCCCAUUAGCUAGUUGGUGAGGUAACGGCUUACCAAGGCGACGAUGGGUAGCCGGCCUGAGAGGGUGGACGGCCACACUGGGACUGAGACACGGCCCAGACUCCUACGGGAGGCAGCAGUAGGGAAUAUUGCGCAAUGGACGGAAGUCUGACGCAGCGACGCCGCGUGAGCGAUGAAGGUCUUCGGAUCGCAAAGCUCUGUCCUUGGGGAAGAAGGUCUUCGGACUUGACGGUACCCAAGAAGAAAGCCCCGGCUAACUACGUGCCAGCAGCCGCGGUAAUACGUAGGGGGCGAGCGUUGUCCGGAAUUACUGGGCGUAAAGGGUGCGUAGGCGGCCCUUUAAGUCGGAUGUGAAAGCCCGCGGCUUAACCGCGGAAUGGCAUUCGAAACUGGAGGGCUUGAGUGUCGGAGAGGGUAGUGGA
rnacentral:rRNA from 1 species